AUUGGAAAUUAAUUAAUAGGGAAUUCGCUCUUAUGUGUAUUCGAUGUAUGUUGUGUAAUCGUAACUGCAUGAGCGUGUGAUUUGUUGUUGCU